UUGAAUAAACUUGGUCAAGCUGUUGCUGGUCUCUCGGGGCAUGUGCACGCUUGCCACCAAUUUUAACCACCUGUGCACCUUUUGUAGUCUGAAAAACGAAUUCUCGAGGAAACUCGGAUUGGGAACUGCUGUGCGCAAGCCGGCUGUUCUUGUGUUUCUCAGUCUAUGUUCUUACAUACCCCGAAUGAAUGUAUUAGAAUGUAUUGUUAGGCCUUAGUGCCUUUAAAUCAAAUA
rnacentral:misc_RNA from 1 species